rnacentral:rRNA from 1 species
UACGAAGGGGGCUAGCGUUGCUCGGAAUUACUGGGCGUAAAGCGCACGUAGGCGGCUCUUUAAGUCGGGGGUGAAAUCCUGGAGCUCAACUCCAGAACUGCCUUCGAUACUGGAGAGCUCGAGUCCGGGAGAGGUGAGUGGAACUGCGAGUGUAGAGGUGAAAUUCGUAGAUAUUCGCAAGAACACCAGUGGCGAAGGCGACUUACUGGACACAUAUUGACGCUGAGGUGCGAAAGCGUGGGGAGCAAACAGG